rnacentral:rRNA from 1 species
UGGGGAAUUUUGGACAAUGGGCGCAAGCCUGAUCCAGCCAUUCCGCGUGCAGGACGAAGGCCUUCGGGUUGUAAACUGCUUUUGUACGGAACGAAAAGCCCUUCUCUAAUACAGAGGGGUCAUGACGGUACCGUAAGAAUAAGCACCGGCUAACUACGUGCCAGCAGCCGCGGUAAUACGAAGGGUGCAAGCGUUACUCGGAAUUACUGGGCGUAAAGCGUGCGUAGGUGGUGGUUUAAGUCAGAUGUGAAAUCCCCGGGCUCAACCUGGGAACUGCAUUUGUGACUGCACAGCUGGAGUGCGGCAGAGGGGGAUGGAAUUCCGCGUGUAGCAGUGAAAUGCGUAGAUAUGCGGAGGAACACCGAUGGCGAAGGCAAUCCCCUGGACCUGUACUGACGCUCAUGCACGAAAGCGUGGGGAGCAAACA